GCCCGCCUAGCUCAAUCGGAUAGAGCGUCAGACUCUUAUGUCCAGAACGAGCCGCUGUUGAUCUGAAGGCUGCGAGUUCGACCCUCGCGGUGGGCU